GAAGUGUGGACUGUUAAGGCAACGAGCAAUCUGUCUAAAAAGAGGAACCAUGCAGCGCUGAAAUUCUGCCGCCUGUGUGGUCUCCAACACUUCUUCAAGCUCCUGAAGAAAGAGUACUUCCUUUUGACAAUUAGUGACAGGCUAGUACUUCAACAAACCCCUUAUAACUGUAUCAGCUAACUUGUAAUCCUUUUCAACAAACUACUUCCUUUUGACAAUUAGUGACAGGCCAGUACUUCAACAAACCCCGUAUAACUGUAUCAGCUAACUUGUAAUCCUUUUCAACAAACUGAACGAUACAGUAAGAUAACUGCUGAUGAUACAUUGCAACUGGUUUUGGCUUGUGUAGUGGUAUGAGUGCC
rnacentral:lncRNA from 1 species